AUUGAACGCUGGCGGCAGGCCUAACACAUGCAAGUCGAGCGGAUGAAGGGAGCUUGCUCCUGGAUUCAGCGGCGGACGGGUGAGUAAUGCCUAGGAAUCUGCCUGGUAGUGGGGGAUAACGUCCGGAAACGGGCGCUAAUACCGCAUACGUCCUGAGGGAGAAAGUGGGGGAUCUUCGGACCUCACGCUAUCAGAUGAGCCUAGGUCGGAUUAGCUAGUUGGUGGGGUAAAGGCCUACCAAGGCGACGAUCCGUAACUGGUCUGAGAGGAUGAUCAGUCACACUGGAAGUUAGACACGGUCCAGACUCCUACGGGAGGCAGCAGUGGGGAAUAUUGGACAAUGGGCGAAAGCCUGAUCCAGCCAUGCCGCGUGUGUGAAGAAGGUCUUCGGAUUGUAAAGCACUUUAAGUGGGGAGGAAGGGCAGUAAGUUAAUACCUUGCUGUUUUGACGUUACCAACAGAAUAAGCACCGGCUAACUUCGUG
rnacentral:rRNA from 1 species